CAGAAAAGAAAGAAUUAAAAGAAUGUCCCAUUCCUCCAAAGGACGGCCGGAGCCCCAGUCAUCAGGUCCAUUUACAAGGAAGCAGAAAGUGUGAUCCGAGCAAAGCACAAACACAGAGCCUUUUGGAGAUGCAGUUUUCGGGAGAAGAUCACCCCGAUGGGGCCCCCAGAGGCCCCUCAAGCACAGGUCGGAGCUGUGACUGCAGCAGCGUCAGGCACUGAGACCACACAGGAUGAGUUCCAGCUCCCGAUCAGAUGGAAAUCUACGCAGCCUGCCAGCCUCGUGCCCAGACGCCACCGUGGAAUGGCCUCAGAGGCAAGAAUGAGGCGGUGGGAUCUACGGAGCUGGAGGAAAAGGCUUUUUCCGAGAAGCACUGCCCAAGAGACUACAAUGGGAGAGCGGCGACCCCCCUAACGUGGAAGACCUCCAGUCAACCACGCACACCGCGGGCAAGUUUAACGGACUGGGGGGAAGAAAUCUGCAAUGUCUGACACAAAGGACGGAUGUCCAAAAUAUGCGAGAAACUCACGUAAAACAAGAAAAUGACAGAAAACCCCAAGAAACCGUGCAAAACGUACAGGCAGUCACAAGAAGGGGAGCCCAGAUGGUUAGGAGUGCCUAGAGAGAGACUUCGCAUCCUUAGUGUCGAGAGAAAUGCAAAAUGAAACCUCCAGUCUCUACCCAUCAGACUGGCAAAAAACAAGAGGGCAGCGGUGGUGGGGAGGCAGGAACCCUCCGCGCCGCUGGCAGAACCAGAGGCUGGUGCAGGGCAAGCUGGCGGCGGGCACUUAAGGAAACCGAGGCCUUCCUGUCUGGUGUCUACCUACUCGAAGGUCAAGGCCAGAGGAGUCCGCCAGUCCUGAAUAGCAACGACAUGUACCUGGGGCACAGACCCGCCUGCUGCCAAGGCCAGUGCUCGCUCUCCCACCCUGGGCCCCUCGACUAGCAGCCCUGUCCGAAAGGCCGAGGCCGGGGCACUGAGGUUACGGGAAGGGUAUGGCCCCAAAACCAUGGCUACUUGACUCGAACUCCGGCUCUGCCCUGACACCCUUCACCCCUCUCACCCUCAGGAACCUCUUCUGAAAACGGCGCAUCAGCUGCCUUGAGGUGGAAGAUGAGCUGAAAUAACCCGCAUCUGGUGAGUGACUGGGCAGG